AUGCGAGCGUCUUCGGGAUCUCCUCCUAUCCCGACCUCGAAGGGGGAGGGUGUGAGGGAAGUUGAAUCGGAUCAAGAUCAGGAUGAUUGUGAUGUGAUGAUUGAGCCUGCCGCUGCCCUCAGGGGUCUCUAUGCGAUGAUGGUCUCAUGGUGUGACCAAUUCCUUGAUAUUGAUAUUGAGGAGGGAGGGGAUAGAUCCGUUCCUCCCUUGUUGAUGAUCCACUUUCCCCGUCUUUUUGAGAGAGCAUGGGGAAAUAAUCGCCUAUAUCCUCAAGCUUUAGAUGACUGGUGUCCGUAUCGUGCAUACCUCCAGAAGUUCUGCGAUCAUAAUGCUCCUCGUUAUCAUGAUCCCGAUGCCUACAAGUUGUGUAUGGAUCAAGAAAUUAAAUUGAAGUCUGAGUGGCUGUACAAGCACACCCUUGUCCCCCAUGAUGAGAUCAGUCUGAGUGACGAUAUCCAAAACUGCGCUUAUGAACUUAUCUGUUCCAACAGUGGUGAAGGAGAUUCUUCUAUUUCCAUGAUCGCUGCCACAUGUGUUGCGAAGGAGAGCGAGUUGAUCGUUGAGAGGCUGAGCUGUCAUCCCAGUCUUCUGGACCCUGAAGAAUCACCCCACGAGAGCACACAGAUACGGAUGUUUGCCUUAAGUUGCAUGAAAGGUUCUCAGGCUUGUUCUGAUGCUGCUCUUCUGGUUAAAAAGCUGCCCUGCUGGGCAUAA
rnacentral:rRNA from 1 species